CCCCCCCCCCCCCCCCCCCCCCCCCCCCCCCCCCCCCCCCCCCCCCCCCCCCCCCCCCCCCCCCCCCUCCUCCCCCUCCUCCAGUUAUUCCAGAGAAGAAGGCACCUACCAGGAAUAUAGCUGAAGUCAUCAAACAGCAAGAAAACUCAAGAAAAGCCUUACAUAAUGGACAGAAAAAGAAAAAGGGCAAAAAAAGCAAAAAACAUGAGAACAGCAUAUUGAAAGAAAUUAAAGAUUCUUUAAAAUCGGUCUCAGACAGAAAAUCAGAGGAAGGUUCACGGCCCUCCACCCGGCCAUCCACCCCACAAAGGUCUCUCCAUGACAACCUCAUGGAAGCAAUUCGGGCAAGCAGCAUAAAGCAAUUAAGGCGGGUGGAGGUACCAGAAGCCCUUCGGUGAAAGCCUGGAUGAGAGAAGGAGCAGAGCAGUGAUCGAGGGGAGGCUGCUCGUCCUUUCACUGGUGGCAACAGACUGUCUAGAAAGCUGCUUCCAAAGUAUACCCUUAGAUUCAAGCCAUUUCUCUUUUAUUUCAAAGAAAUAAACCUGCUAAAUACAAAAUAAUGCUUUAAGGAUCCAUUUGCAUUGUAAUCUGUAAAUAUGGAAAUAAUUUUCUUUUUUAUUUAAUGAGAUUUAUAUUGAGAAAUUGUUGCUUAUUUAGAUAUUAUUGUCAAUAUCUGAUUGCACAUCACUGGACAAGUUCUUUACACUGAGAUGUAAUAGUUUACCAGCCUGUGGUUUCUUCUUUUUUUUUUUCCAUGAAUUUAAAAUAAAUGUGGUUUGAAGCUUUC
rnacentral:lncRNA from 12 species